ACUUUUGUCAGUAAAGCAUUUGUCACAUUCACUGCAUUUGUAAGGUUUCUCUCCUGUAUGAAUUUUCUGAUGAAUUCUAAGACUACUUUUGUCAGUAAAGCAUUUGUCACAUUCACUGCAUUUGUAAGGUUUCUCGCCUGUAUGAAUUUUCUGAUGAAUUCUAAGACUACUUUUGUCAGUAAAG